GACAGAGGGGGCAAGCGUUGUCCGGAAUUACUGGGCGUACAGCGCGCGCAGGCGGUGGCGAAGGUGCUCGGUGACAGGCGGGGGCUCAACCCCCGAAGCGCCGAGUAGACCGGGUCACUGGAGGCAGGGAGAGGGAUGUGGAAUGCCCGGUGGAGCGGUGAAAUGCGUAGAGAUCGGGCGGAACACCAGCGGCGAAGGCGGCAUCCUGGUCCUGACCUGACGCUGAGGCGCGAGAGCGUGGGGAGCGAACUGG
rnacentral:misc_RNA from 1 species